rnacentral:rRNA from 1 species
CUCCCAGACUCCUACGGGAGGCAGCAGUGGGGAAUAUUGCACAAUGGGGGAAACCCUGAUGCAGCGACGCCGCGUGAGUGAAGAAGUAUUUCGGUAUGUAAAGCUCUAUCAGCAGGGAAGAAAAUGACGGUACCUGAUUAAGAAGCCCCGGCUAACUACGUGCCAGCAGCCGCGGUAAUACGUAGGUGGCAAGCGUUGUCCGGAUUUACUGGGUGUAAAGGGCGUGUAGCCGGGCUGACAAGUCAGAUGUGAAAUCCGGGGGCUCAACCCCCGAACUGCAUUUGAAACUGUUGGCCUUGAGUAUCGGAGAGGCAGGCGGAAUUCCUUGUGUAGCGGUGAAAUGCGUAGAUAUAAGGAAGAACACCAGUGGCGAAGGCGGAUGACUGGACGGCAACUGACGGUGAGGCGCGAAAGCGUGGGGAGCAAACAGGAUUAGAUACCCCCGUA